AUCAAAAUCACUGUUUAUUAGAUACAUCCUCAAUGAAUACAUGCAUGCAUUUGUUUAUGCAUUUUGUCAUAUACAUAAACAGCUUGUAAGAGCUGCAGAUCUCUUCCCUGAAGCCUUUUUAAGCCCUCCCCUUCUAAUCCCGCCCAGACUUUUUGUGACUGUCCAAUUAAAAAUUUCCCAUUGCAGCUCAAUGAAAAAUCUUUGCAAGGCAGGUGCUCUGGACAAUUGCUGCC